GAUGAACGCUGGCGGCGUGCCUAAUACAUGCAAGUCGAGCGAACAGACGAGGAGCUUGCUCCUCUGACGUUAGCGGCGGACGGGUGAGUAACACGUGGAUAACCUACCUAUAAGACUGGGAUAACUUCGGGAAACCGGAGCUAAUACCGGAUAUAUAUUUAACCGGCUGGUUUCAUAGUUGAAGACGGGUUUUGUUGUAACUAUUGGUUGGAUCCGCGCCGCAUUAGCUAGUUGGUAAGGUAACGGCUUACCAAGGCAACGAUGCGUAGCCGACCUGAGAGGGUGAUCGGCCACACUGGAACUGAGACACGGUCCAGACUCCUACGGGAGGCAGCAGUAGGGAAUCUUCCGCAAUGGGCGAAAGCCUGACGGAGCAACGCCGCGUGAGUGAUGAAGGUCUUCGGAUCGUAAAACUCUGUUAUUAGGGAAGAACAAAUGUGUAAGUAACUAUGCACGUCUUGACGGUACCUAAUCAGAAAGCCACGGCUAACUACGUG
rnacentral:rRNA from 1 species